CACAGCGCCAGGAGCAGUCCGGGAUCCACCGCCGCCGCGGCGAUGGUGGGAGACCCCCUCCCCCGCCCCGGGAGAGAUCGGGAGACGCAGCAGGGAGAGACCCGAGAGCGCGCGAAAUGAAGCCAGGGAUGGCCCGCAGGCGGCGGGAGAGGGACAGACCCGAGGGAGCCAGGCGGAGCGCCAGAGACACUGGGAGAUUCGGACUUACCACGUCCUGAGUGAGGCCGUGGCACAUCUCCAACAAACUCCAGGGGAGGCCUGGCUACUGGUCCCUGGACUGCACUUUGAGUAGCAAGGACAAAGGAAAGAGCUGACUAUAUCCAGCUGCUCAGGUUCAAGGCUGUCACUCCAGGCACUUGACACACCAUGCAGAACCUCUUGCCAAACCCAGGGCUCCAGCUUUGCAACUGUUAUCCCCAAAACCCAGAUGGGUCUUUCCCUAGCUCUGUGCAAGUGCCACUCUGUCCCAGCAUGGUGUGGAGCCCAAGGGUGGCUGGAGGACUCUGGAGCCAGCCAGCCUGGGAGGUCCAGCUUCAAGCCCUGCCAGGUACAGGUGGCUGGAAAGAGGGCAGAGCAUUUCACUUGUCUGUCAUUCAGUUUCUCACCUGGAAAAUGGACAAACAAUAUAGCCUCUUUAUGGGGCUGUUUUGAAGAUUCAGAGGAAUAAUAUGUAUGAAAAAUAUGCACACAAGAGGUACUCAAUAAAUGUUACAUCACUUUCUUUGAUUUCUACCUGUUCCUUAACAUAAUGAUCUAUGUAUUUUUAUUUCAUUAUUUCAAGUUUUUUCUAUUUCUGUGUGUGUGCUAGCAAUUAUAUUUUAGUGUAAAAUAUAUUGAAAUGAACACCUAUGCAUACAUUGGAGUGCAUGUUUAAAGUGUUUUCACUAAUAAGGAAUGCAAAUGCACAAAAAUUUGGAAUACCAUUGUUUUGAAGCCCAGCAGAAUUGAUAGAAAUAGGAAUAUCAUGACUGGAAGGGAUUUUAAAGGCCUUCAGUCCCCUCUGCCGCCCACUCACCCUUCUGAUUCACAAAGUCCUCUGGAGUACUAGAUUGCCUCCUUUGGUGGGGAGCUCACUACCUUUUUGGGCAAUCAGUUUUGUGUAGCUCCCUGGGUUCCAGCUUCUUCCCAGCUCCCAGGGCCUGAGUGAACUGCUCCCCACCUCCACUCUACUGUGUCUGCCCUGGGAUCCCCCAAGGGCCCAGUGCCAAGUUGUGUGCCUAGUAGUCUUUAAAUAAUGG
rnacentral:lncRNA from 1 species